CCAAAACCCGCAUCGGCCGUCCGAAUGCCACGCAAACACAUACAUAGCACCUCGUAGGUAUUAGACACGUGUUAGAACUUACAGGACUCGAUUCCGACAUACGGAACCAAAACCCGCAUCGGUUGUCCGAAUGUCACGCAAACACACACAUAGCACCUCGUAGGUAUUAGACACGUGUUAGAACUUACGAGACUCGAUUCUGACAUACGAAAUCCGAGUUAUCGUCCAGUUUGCAAAACUCGCCAACACUUAGGCAAAAAGCCGAAAAACAGCCCAAAACCCGCA
rnacentral:lncRNA from 1 species